ensembl:lncRNA novel transcript, antisense to PHPT1and AJM1
AGCCCCGCCCCCGCCUCGCCAGGCGUGCCCCUGGCAUGCCCGCAGGUCCCGCCCUCACCAUGGUACUCAGCCCACUUGUAGCCGCGCACGAUCUCCUUGCUCUCUGCAGCCGGAGCCCCGGAGCGGGGAGCCGAGUGGACUCGGAUCAGCACAUACUUGAAGACGCCGUCGGAGUCGAUGUCCACAUCAGGAAUGAGAGCGAGGUCCGCCACCGCCAUGUUCCUCCUCCCGGAGUCCCCUCCUCCCACCCGACCCGGGGGCCGCUUGUACUGCGGGAGGCGGGCUCUGCGAGAGCGACGACCAAUCCCGUCGGGGAAUGCUUCCCAAGGCCCAGCGCCUCAGCCAAUUGUACCGCCGACCGAGGCACGUGCUGACCAAUCGCAAUCCAGUUCCUUGCCGCCUUGCGGCUCCGCCAGCCCCGCUUAAAGGAAACGUGGAAUCGGGAAUGGGUGGUGAUGAAAUCCAGCCAACGGAGAAGUUCCUCUCCAGCGGGGUCCGGUGGCACCCUUGGAACGGGGCAGUUAGGCGGCCCGCGAGGCUGGGGCAACGAGGGAGGCCUGAGGGACUUGCCAGCCCUGACCUCCUGUCCCGCACGUAGUCCGAAGACCACCCUCCCCGUGGCCCCCACCGCCCAAAGGCCUCCCUCUCUCCCCCUCCCACCGCCCGAAGGCCUCCCCCCUCCCCGCUCUCCACCGCCCGAAGGCCUCGCUCUCCACCCCCUCCACCGCCCGAAGGACUCCCUCUCUUCCCCGUCCACCGCCCGAAGGCCUCUCCCUUUCUCCUCUCCACCGACCGAAGGCUUCCGUCCCCAACCCCGCUACCGGUACAAGGAGGCAACGGCAGCCGCUACAUUCAAGUUCUAUUUUACUUGGUUCGAAA